GGCCGGUUAUCUCAGUUGAUUAGAGUUUGGUGCUAUUAACACCGAGGUCCUGGGUUCAAUCCCCGUGCAGGCCA
rnacentral:tRNA from 1 species